rnacentral:rRNA from 1 species
UACGUGAGGCAGCAAGCGUUUGUUCGGAAUUACUGGGCGUAAAGGGUGUGCAGGCGGCUUGGUAAGUGUGGUGUGAAAUCUCCCGGCUUAACUGGGAGGUGCGCUACAAACUGCCGGGCUAGAGUGUGGGAUGGGAGAGUAGGAAUUCCUGGUGUAGCGGUGAAAUGCGUAGAUAUCAGGAGGAACACCGGUGGUGUAGACGGCUCUCGG